ACAUUUGAUUGUGUAUUAACGAUUUUUUAUCGUUCUUGGCCAAAUAUCAAUAUGAGGCCUGUUAGCUCAGUUGGUUAGAGCGCCGUGCUAAUAACGCGGAGGUCAUGAGUUCGAUCCUCUUACGGGCCAGUGCAAUGGAGGAAAAGUCGUUGAGUGCAACAGAUAGAGGAACAAGUUUCAGUUGUACAGGAUUUCGUAACCAACAUUUAAAAUAAAGAAACACGAAAUCCCAUAUAGAAGAGUCCCAUGAAGAAUCUGCUAUGUAAAAACCUUAGGGCACGAUACCAAUAAUGAUAGUGUGGCCGAGUGGUCUAUGGCGCUGGUUUUAGGCACCAGUCUCUUCGGAGGCAAGGGUUCGAAUCCCUUCACUGUCAUAAUCU